CAUAAAAUUUCUUCACCCAUCAAUCACAAACAACAUUCCAAUCAUAACCCUCCAAUCAAAAACAAAUUUCAUCCACCCUAACCCAAAACUCACAAAUUCAUCACCAAUUUCUAAAACUCAACUCAUAAAACUUACUUAAACCUUAACCCCAUAACUAAAUCAAACUUUUCCACCAAAAACAUAACCAAAACCCAACCUUCCCCAAAACCACACAAGGUCAAACUAGGUCAAGGCUAUGGCUUCCAAAAGAGGUGGAAAAGAAGUUGCAAGCUCGUCGGGAUGACCUCCCCCAAAGAAGCAAGUGCCAACAAAGAAUCAUGGAAUACAAUUCAAAGACAACAAGAAAAGGGAUAGAUGAAGAUCAUGAAGACCAUAGGUGUUAAUUUUUUGUUCUCUUUAUAUUCUUCGAUGACUCUGCUCAAAGUGCACUGAAGCAUAAUAAAUAUGGAGAAUGUGACCAAACAAUAAUAUUUUAGGUUUUAGACAUUAAGAUAUUAGGGAUGUGAAAAGACUCUUUUCGGGACAUUCCAUGGGAUAUAGAUGAGCGCCCUGCAACAAAGAGGGGGUCAGAAAAAUUGAGAGAAAGAAAAAUAGUAGAUAGAUUGUGACAGUGCAUCAGGCCACCGAGAUGAGUAAAUGGUGCGAUACGGUUGUUAUCUACCAGCAAAUACGCAUGAGAUUCAAUUUUAUGGUAGGUACGGUGGCCAUCUACCAAGUAAUUCACGACAGCAAUCAUAACAGAGUUGCGACAAUUUCCUUCAUGAAGGAGACGACACAUUUCUUCUUUGUCUUCAUGUGGCAUUUUCAUGAACGACGUCAAUGUAUCAACACUGACUAAGAUUUUAAUCACCGCCAUGAAUCCUUAUUUAAGCAUGCAUCUAAGGAGAUUCAAAAUUCCAUGGUAAUGACAUUUUAGAACCAAUUUAAAUAUGUUCUUACUUCUUUCCAUCAUUCUUUAUAUCAUUCUAUGCAAUUAAAAUCUAAAUUUAAAUCUAUUUCUUUAAUUUCACUACACAUCAAAAUUUAAAUCUAUUUCUUUAAUUUUACUUCCAAUUCCAUGUAAUUUUCACUCUGAAAAUAAUGUGGUAUAGAACAUUUCAUUUUCUAAUUGCUUUGUGCUUUUCUACGGUUUGAAUAUCAUCAAUCUUUCAUGAACUCCUUACAAUAUCUCACCAGAGUCAAUUUUUCUUGGGUUGUUUUUGGUAUUGCUUCGAAGUAUUAACAAAUUUUAAUUUCAAGUAUAUGUGUAGGAAUUGUACCUUUCUUGGAUCAAAGAGAUCAACAAACUAUGAACAGGAUGUGAUUGAUAGUUGAAAUUUCCAAGUAAGAUAAGAUGAAAACAAAAGGAAAACGAGACAUGUUGCAUGGUAAAGGCCAAAAAUAGUGAUGGGAUUAAGAUAUGCAUGUUCAAAUAUAUGACAUUCCGAAGCAAAAGCAUAACUAACACUUUUAUACUUCGAAAAAAUUUCAUAUUGUGUUUGUCCUUUUAAAUUCUUCCAUGUUAUUUUUAUUGGUAAUCCUUAUUUUCUUCGAUUUGGGUUGAAGGUUCAAUAUUUCAAUCCUCCUGCAAGAGUUCACUAUUUUUCAAGAAAAUGGCUUUUGGUCAUGGGGUGGUGAUAUAAGACUUUUGUCUUUGAAAUUGAACCAUUUUUUAUACAUGGAAUAUGCAAUUUCAAAGCUAGCGUAUCAGUAUGAUAACUAUUUGUUUGCUACAUUUAAAAGUACAAACAAAAUAAAAUAAAAAAGGACAAAUAUAUUUUCAUUUUUGCUAUGAUAUAUUUCACAAUCUUCCAUUGUUAUCAGUAUGAUAAGACUGUAUUAUAGGCAUUAGCUUUCAUCCUUCAAAAAAAAGCAAGUAAACCAUUGCAAUGUUGUUGUAUCAAUGAGUAGUGAGUAGGCAAUGUAUAAGUGCUCUUUUUUUUUCUUUUCCUUAA